rfam:Clostridium oryzae strain DSM 28571 CLORY_contig000079, whole genome shotgun sequence.
GGGGGCGUACUGGUUUCGACGGGGGUAAGACGUGUUUAGGAAGCGAGUCGAAGGUUCUCGGGCCUGCGUUAAAAAACUGAGAAUUAAAUAUAAACGCAAACGAAAAUAAUAAUUUAGCUUUAGCAGCUUAGUCUGCUAGCCGUCAGCCCAUGAGUCCCGCGGCAUGGAGUCUGGCGUCGAUAGCGGGGAAACGAGCCUAGGAAAGCUUUGACCUAGGAACGGAAUUUAUGAAGCUACUGAAGUCAGAAGCUUGUCUUUCGGCGUCUGAUAGAGGGAAUGUUAAAAGAGAGACUGCACUCGGAGAUGCUUAGGCAUUGCUGCUUUCGGACAGGGGUUCGAUUCCCCUCGCCUCCAUUG